CAGCACCAGGCCGGUACCCAGGCUGGCUCACAGAAGCCAGGCGCCAGGCACUCCAGACUAGGGGUGGGCGGCGCAGGACUCAGCGCCAUGCCUGGGGCGAAGGCGGACUUGGCCGCAACCAGCCCGAAGCACGUGCCCGGGCUCGCCGGUAUCUCGGAGCCGAGGACAAAGUCUGCUCCCGCCCGCUCUGCAGCUCCAGCACCCGGCACCGGCGUCCGGGCAAGGCAGGCAGGGCUUGCGCGCGCCGCAAGCCAACUCCAGACACCACCCCGAUGCAGGCUCGGCCGCCCACGACUCCAGCGCGCACUCACCAUUGUGGUUGACCCAGGUUGGCUUCAAGAGCUUCAUUGUUCGGCCGCCGCCGGGCUGAGGCCAGAACCGUGUCCCUCAGCGCGCCUGGGCCAUGGAGCCGCUGCUGCUUCCUCCCGCGCCGCCCGCCCUCCGGCCGCCGCCCACCCUUGCCCUCAGCGCCGCCGCGCCAUCGCCGGCCCGCGCCCCCAGCCGCCGCCACAGCCGCCUCCUGCGCUCGGCCGCCGCCGCCGCCGCCACAGCCGCAUCCCCUGCGCCGCUCCUCCUCCGGCGGCUCCGGGGCAACGCCGGAAGUCACGGCGCGCACCUGCCAAAUCGCCCCGGCGGGAAACCGCUCCCUACGCGGACGGGCCCGCCUCGGCUCUUUGGCAGGCAGGGGGAGCGCUGGGCUACUCCGCUUUGGGUCUGACACUGGCGCGGUCGCUGGUGAGGCUCGGUGUGGACGGGUUGGGCCGCAUGCCGCCCGACGAUGCGGGGCCAGGGUAGUGUCCAGGUCUCUAACUCUACCUCCGCAGCUCCGAGUCCACUUUAGUAACUAGCUUCCGUCAUCCCUCAACACGCGCUAUUGAGCAUCUCUUGAGCUGCAUCCGGGCCGGCGCCAGCAAGCCGCUAGCGGCAGACAGCAGUGGUCCUGGGCUCGAAUGGAUGCAGAAAAGAGCUAGUCUGGUGGAGGGAUACAAGGGACGAGACGGGCGCGUUUAAUUGGGGUGUUUGCAUAGACGUGAACACAUAGGGCAGGCGGAGCAGAAAGCAGCCACAAAGGCACAAGAGACACUUGGGCAAGACUGCAGGCUGUACAGCAGCACCAGCAGGAGGCGGAACAGCAGCCGCAGGGCGCUGCGAAGAGAGGCGCGCUUGCCAGGGGCGGGGCUGCGUCGGGGGCGGGGCCAGGGUGGGCCCGCCUCUCCGAAUCGCGGACCGGCGAGUUCCGGGCCGCGGCCUGUCUGACCCUACUCGGUACAACAGUUCGGACCGCCCAGGGGCGCGCUGCCGUAAGUUGCCCGCCGACGGGUGGCGUGAAAAGCUAUGGCUACCGCUGCGAUGCUGUGUGCUGCGCGAGCUCUGCGGCCGCGGAGCUGAGCAGAACCACUACGGAAGAAGAAGAAGGUAGAUCCUAAAAAGGACCAAGCAGCAAAGGAUCGCUUGAAAAGGAGGAUUCGAAAACUGGAAAAGGCCAACCAAGAACUAAUUCCCAUUGAAGAUUUUAUCACCCCUGUGAGAUUCUUGG